rnacentral:rRNA from 1 species
UUUUGAGCUCGGAUCAGGUCGGGAUUCCCGC